AUUUAAAAAAAAAUAUUCCAUCCAUUUUCAUUUCCAAAAAAUGGGGGCCAAAAAAUGCAUAAAUUUGAUCCACUAACUCCAAAUAUCUGCGUCCGCCAGUGAUGCUAGUCAUAUUAAUUGCCAAUUUGGAAUACCAGCUUGGCUUAUAGUGUGGUCCAAGAAUGGGAUCAGAGACCGAAGUACCUAGUUGGGCCUCGGGAUCUUUAUUAAGAAUUCAUGAGUGACCUCGUUAACCUGAUUUUAACAAAGGUUUAAUCGAUCACUAUUAGAAAAGGGAACAAGUCAUGGUCCUGGUUUUUUUUAGCUUGGACAUCAGCAUCAAGUCCUAAGCUUAGUGAAGAGGUAAGCUGCAUGCCAGUUGUCGAUGUAAUCAGGUUUUCCACCUAAUAAGCAGUUAUGAAGAGACAUCCUCACUUCGGCCGAUCUGACAAGUUUCAAGGAUAUCUGACAAAAUGUCCAAACCAACGAGUUAAUAAGGCACACUGUCCAAUAAUUGUAUGACACUGAUGGUGACUGACCUUACAUAUUGUACAAGGUGGCUAGAGGCUUUUGGUAAGCAGUGUUGUCUGCAUUAAGCUCUUAACUCUGUUAAAUUUAACUCAUUCCAUGUCUGACUCAAGCAUUGGUCUCGGCGCUAAAUUUCUUUAUAGCUCAGUCCAACAGCCAAAAAUAUUUGAGUGUGAUAGCAUUUUUGGGUAUUUUUCUGCUCCUUUCUUGUGAACUUCGAUAUUCGUUUGUAGAGGUAUGAAGUAUCUGAAUGAGAUGUGAUAUCUUACAGUGAGAUAAAAUAUAUAACUACCCAUUGGCUGAAUUCAAGAUUGCAUUUCCGGUAACAGUUUAGUUGUUCCUUGUCCAUUUGAAUUCUCUGAUCAAUGAUGCAGAAUGGUGGUGUUAGUAUGAUUCAAUCAUAUUCACGUUUUAUUCUAUGGGAUGUUCUUUGUGGUAAUGGUAAGUUGCAUGAUGGAGUUCUUGGCACCCCCCCUCCUUGGAUUCUCAUAUCUUUGCAAAUACUUGGAGCUCUCAUUUAUUUCUUGAAUGCUGACGCCCUGGUAUGAUGAUUGAUACAUAAUGACAAUAUUACAAGAAUCUUUGGAAGGAUUGGGUUUUUGGUGCCCUGAGAUCUGGUAUGCUCGUAUUUUCAAGAUAUUGGUUAUCGUGGAUCUUUUUUGAUGAUUUUGACGGUUUUAGCUCUUUUUCCUUUGUAUUGUGGGUAUUUCUUUUUUGUUUUGGCAGAUACAAUCAGUCAUUUGUUAAUUUCAACUUCUAGAUUGAGCAUGUGAAAUUUUAAUGGUUUGAUAGACCCCAUCAAGACUCUCGUCUUUUCCAAUACUUUGAAUUUCUUGUUUAUUAUUAAAAUCAUAACAAGAAGAUGUACUCAUUUCUUGGCAUGACGACAGAUACACACCGGCAAUUAUUCCAAGAAUCUUCUAAAGGAUUGGGCCUGUGUUGCCUUUGCUUCGUCCGGGAAGUGGUAUCCUCGUACUUUCGUAAUACCAAUUAGUUGAAUCUUGGAAUACUCUGACGAUUUUUUUAAUAGUUUUAGCCUGUUUUCUGUUUUUCAUAUGGGGUUUUUAUACCUUGAGCUGGUGAAUAUUGUUCUGGUGCUUUGAUGACUGCCCCAACCUUUAGUGUUUUGAACUCAUUUCGCUUACUGGAUUGAGAGUUGGAAUUUAAAGUAGUUUGAUGGAGUUUUUUCUCAAGUGGAUUUUCGUAUUUUUUGCAAAAUAUUUGGAUAUCGAGUUUAACAUCUGCAGCUAAUGUGUGAUACUGUGAUUUCCAACUAUCACGAUAGGUAAUUCUUGGAUCACCUUUUUUUCAUCUUUUCUCUAACGUAAUGCAAUUUCCUGGUAUCUGUUAUAACAAAUUGACAUUUAUUCCGGUAUAAUCUUUGGAAAUAGGUUUUUGGUUCCGUUGCCUGUGGAUUGAGGCCAUUAACGUAAUAUACUGAAUCCUUAUAGUGAGUUAUUUGCAGGAAAUAGACUCAAAAGUAUAUAAAUACUGGACGAUUGCUCAUGCGGACGACUUUGGUUAUGGUUCCACCAGUUUUCCAUUAGGCAGUAUCUUGUUUCUCAAGGGAUAAAUAUACUAAAGGUUUACAAUCAGAAUUAAGCGUUGCACUUUUGUCUUCGUCUAUCUCGAAUUCUUCUAUUUUGCAAGCUGUUUGUAGUACGAGGCAAGUAGAAGAGAAAUCUAGUCAUUAUUUUCUUGUUGUCCAUACAGUGUUUUUCAUAUGCAGAUGAUAUUUUGGAGGAAUCAAUUGGAGAAUUGCACUUUUGUUAGUCCAUCUAUCUUGAAUUCUUCUAUUUUGUAAGCUGUUUGUUACUGAAGCAAUAUAUAGGGUCAUUAUUUUCUGUGGUCUGUACACUGUUUUUCAUAUGGAGAUUUUUUUUUUGAAGAAUUGACUGGAGAAGUGACAAAAUUUUCUCAUCAUGUUUUUCAUCUGCUGCAGCAAUAGCAUUUGUCGUCUCUGUUCAGAUGACAACGUAUCUUGUCCUGUAAAUCUGUUUAUCGCUGAUUCCUUUAACUAAUUCUAUUCAGAUUUUUUUUUUUUAGUUUGAAUUGUGCAGUUUUCAAUUCAGUGGUUAGGACAUGGGGUUGUUGGACUCACAUUAUUGCAGCUUGAAUCUAUGUAGUUGGUUUUAAAUUCUAUGACUUCGAUUUCCAUUGGUGAAUUUCAUGGAUGCGGUUUGUUUGUUAUUUUUGAUCGGUAAAAAAGGAUUUCAUUGGUGUUUCCAUGAGUUUCUUUGUUCCUUAGUAUUUGCAGUCUAUAAGUGGUCUUCAGGGUUGUGUGAAGCAAUAUAUAUAUGAUCUUCACUCUUGUAUUGCUAAAGAUGAAUAUCGGUUUCUUUGGCGCUUCAUCCGCAGGUGGAAUUAUUGUGAUUAAUGAUAAUGGUCAUUAAUGAAUAGGUGUAAGAUUUUCCUCUUUUUUACUCGUUCAUUUCUGGUUAAACAGUCUCAGUUUACGUUGUCAGGGUUUUAGGUGCAGAUUGAUCAGUUUAUAAGGCAAUCUGAAGGGAAACCUAUUCGUAUACUGCUACAUUUGCACCACUCAUUUUUAACCUUCCCCAGAUGAAUUGAAUUGGACUUCUCUGUCUUUUCAUAUAAAAAGCCUUAGGUUCUUUGAUGUUUCGUUACGUGCAGAAAGAUUUCAACAGGAAGAGAAUAUUGCUGUAAUGGGGAUAACUUAUAAGACAGGAUUAUGUGAUGCUGUCUAUGUGGUCAUGCUUUGAUCGACUUUCCCAACUCCUUGGUUCUGAUUAAUUUUUCCCACAUUUCUUUAAGGAAGCUUCAGAGAGCAGAGGUUAUCUUUGUUUCUCGGGAAACUUCUGUCUAGCUGGACAGAGUGGAGGUGAAGCAACAUUAUUAUUUUUACAUGUUUGCUGGUUUUUAUGAAAUUUUUUCCAGUUGCUUGGAAUGUGAUCUUGACUCUUAUAUUGGUAUGGAAUCUGGUUUUCUUCUGUGCUUCCUCAGCUGCUGGUGAAAAUCCUUAUGGUCAAAGAUAAUGGAUAUCAAUGUAACAAGGGUGUAGAAUUUUCUUUUGUUUUCUCCUUGUUCAUUUAUGUUUCAACAUUCUCAGUUUGUGUUUUGGGAGAGUUCUGGUGGAGAUUGAUCAUUUCAUGGGGAAACCUAUUUUUUGUUUACUUGCGGCCACAUUUGCACCUGUGGUUCAAGACCAUUUCCCCUCUCUGGUGAGAUUUUGCGUGUACUUCAUAGAUAACCUUCCUGAAUGUGGUUCUCUCUACUUUUUUAAAUGAGUCAUGAUCAACUUUUCCCUUCCUUGAAGAAAAUUUUUCCCGGUAUUUCUUUCCAUCCCAUAUUAUGGAUCAAGAUGGAAAUUCAAAAGCAAUUUCGAGUUAGAAUCACAUAGCAAUUUAAAAUAUGCAUUGACACAUAUGUAGGAGCUGUCGUGUUAUAAACUUACUUUUCAAUCUGCCGUUAUUAAUAUUUGAGGGUGAUCAAAUUCUUGAUAAUCAAGUUCUUCAAGCAUUUUUCUUUCUUUCUUUCUAUUUAUUUAUUUAUUUUUAUUUAUAUAGUUAGAGAAUAAGUGGGCAUGUUGACAACUAUUCGAAGAAUCUUUGGAAUGAUUAGGUUUUUGGUUUCAUUGCCUAUAAAUUGAGGCCAUUAAUUUUUCCUGAAAUGGCAGUUUGCUCCUAGGUCUGUAACUAAAUCGUUAGUGAGUGCAUGAAAUAUAUAAAUCCUGGGUGUUAAUCAUACAGACAACUUUGGUUCUGGUUCCGUCAGCUUGUCCAUUAGGCCAACAUCAACAACUGAAGGGAUAUUUCCAAGGCUAUAGGUUUAAAAUCAAAAUUAAGUGUUGCACUUUGGUCGUGCAAGCUUAGUGUUUAAAGUACAAUGCAGUUCUGAAGCAUAUUUUGAGGGUGUUUGGGAGCCAUUUUUAUGUAAAAAUGUAUCUUGGAAUAGUAAAUUGAUGGGAAAUGUGUGGUUAAAAAAUAAGAAAAAGUUUUUGAUUUACGUGUAAUAAUAUUUUAAUGAAAAAUGUGUGGUUGAAAAGAAGAGAGAAAAAUAUAUUUUGAAAAAAAUGGGUACCAUGCUUUGGUUUAUACAGUGUUUUUCAAAUGCAGAUGAUAUGUUAUAGGAAUCCAUUAGAGAAUGGACGUGAGAUUCUCAUGUUUUAGGAAUCCAUUAGAGAAUUGACAUAAGAUUCUCAUGUUUUUGAUUUGCAGUAACAGAUUUUGUUCUCUUUUUAGAUGACGGGGUUCUAUCCUUGUCAAUCUUUUUAUGUCUAUUUCUCUUACAAUACCUAGAUUUUCUUCCCUAUUUACUAACCUGACUUCCCUCAAAAAAAUUAAUGGACAGUUGUUUCUUGGAAAGUUCUUUUACAGGUUUCUGUGAAGAAUUGUUUUGCUAAAAAUGAAGAUUUUGUUUACUGUACAUUUGCACUAGCCAUCCACCCCCCGGGCUGUUUUUUCUCUAAAUGAUAUGAAAUGUAGACUGCUUUUGAUCAAUUUCAUAUAGAAUCCUUAGAUAUCUUUAUAGAGAAGUAUAUUUUCUUUAUUGCUACAAAAGGAUUUUGCGAAUGCUAUCUAUCUGGUCAUAUGUUUAUCAAUGUUCCCAAUUCCUUGAUUCUGCUUUAUUGUUUCAAGCAUUUUCCCAGUUAUUAAUGCCUCUUGUGACUGCAUUCUCAACAUAGAAAAAUCAAUGUUUGGCAUGCUUAUGAAGUUGACAUAAAAGGCGGUCAAGAAGCUUUAGUUAUUUAUUUGAUGUUAUAACAACAUCGUUCCCACUUCUCAUUGAUAUUUCUGCUUAAAUGAAUAUUGUGGGAGACCUUUCUAAUCCGUGCACAGGAAUAUUCACUUUUGCACAAGAAUAUCCGGACAUGCAGUAGCAGGAAAUUCUUUUCCACAAUUCAGUGCAGCUCUACCAGGUUGGGAAAUCGGCUUUGGGGGUGUGUAAGAAGUCAAGUGACUUAAUAUUUGUCAGUUCCAUGGCUAUCUACAUUUACUUACAGGGACAUGUACAAUAUUCCUGUGGUGUUGCUAAUGUUUUGAGGUUAUGUUGGGCUCUCUUACAGCACACUGAUAACAUUGAUCAACUUUCUGUGACUAUUUACUGUUCACAUCCACUCAGUGAAGUGCCGUGGCAGCUGGAGUCCACGCACCGGAUUCAUACUAACCGUGAUAAAAAAAAGGUUUCUUCGCUGGGGUUGAUGGAACUCUUUAUUCUUGGCACCUGAAGUGGGACCAAAGAAAGGUUGAACAGAAUUCGGUAAGGGAGAAAAUUAGAAGAUGAAGAGAAUUCAAGUUUGAUAAGAGAUAGUACUGGAGAUAAUGAAGAAAGGCUUAGUACCUUACCUGAAUGUGUUCUUUGUCACAUACUAUCUUUCAUAUGUUGUUCAGACAUGUGUGUUGUCCAAACGAUUUAAGAACCUUUGGUCCUCGCUCCCGUCAUUAACUUUGAUACUACUUCGUUCAGUAAAUUGUCAUCUUUUAACAAGUUUAUGGAUCGAACACUAACUCUUCGUGACAAUUCUAGUAGGGUUUACGACUUCAAA